rnacentral:rRNA from 1 species
GCAAGUCGAACGAGACGAGAGCUUAGCUUGCUUUGCCCGAGUUUAGUGGCGAACGGGUGAGUAACACGUGAGCAACCUGCCCAGAAGCAGGGGAUAGCCCACCGAAAGGUGGAUUAAUACCGUAUGUGAUUGCGGGGGGAUUCCCCCGCGUAUCAAAGGUGGGGAUCUUCGGACCUGCCGCUUCUGGAUGGGCUCGCGGCCUAUCAGCUUGUUGGUGAGGUAACGGCUCACCAAGGCGACGACGGGUAGCUGGUCUGAGAGGAUGAUC